GUAGGGAAUUUUCGGCAAUGGGGGCAACCCUGACCGAGCAACGCCGCGUGAGUGAUGAAGGUCUUCGGAUUGUAAAGCUCUGUUGUAAGGGAAGAACGGCAUCUAGAGAAUAGGUGAGUGACGGUACCUUACCAGAAAGCUACGGCUAACUACGUGCCAGCAGCCGCGGUAAUACGUAGGUAGCGAGCGUUAUCCGGAAUUAUUGGGCGUAAAGGGUGCGUAGGCGGCCUGUUAAGUUUAUGGUGAAAGCGUGGGGCUCAACCCCAUAAAGCCAUAGAUACUGGCAGGCUAGAGUACUGGAGAGGGUAGUGGAAUUCCAUGUGUAGCGGUAAAAUGCGUAGAUAUAUGGAGGAACACCGGUGGCGAAGGCGGCUACCUAGACAGAGACUGACGCUGAGGCACGAAAGCGUGGGGAGCAAAUAGGAUUAGAAACCCUAGUAGUCC
rnacentral:rRNA from 1 species